UUAUCUUUGUUUCUCACCUCACAGGAUUGUCUUGAAUUGCUGAACAAUCUCAUUCGCAGCAAUGCAUCCGAUCAGGUGUUGCCAAGUGAGACUAUAGGAUUUGACUCAGUAAUAUCCAUUUUGAAAGUUCGACGAAGCACAUACAACUUUUCUCAACAAAAAGGUUAGGCUUCAAAUGUUCAAUAGAUAUUUUAACAAAUCUUUCUGUGGAUGAUUUAGAUGAUACUUUAGAGGCUUAAAAUGUUGAUUAUUGCUUGAAACUUACUUUUUUGGAACUUUAAAAUGAAGAGAUAGUUGAUCUUACCUCAUAACUGCAAGAUCUUUAGAGGACAGGCAAAAGAAGCCCAUGUCAUUAAUGGAAGAUGGAAAGGUUGUUUUUGAGGCUAAAGACUUGAAGGUGCUUAGAAAUCUAGAAGAUACCUGUUUCGGGUUGUUUUGAGUAUAUCUUUUUAAUUAUAUGACACUUAUGUAUUAUUUCAUGUUACUUGCAUUAAAAAUUUUAGAGUUUGAAGUGUGAAGAGAUAGGGAAGGGUCAAUGGUCUUAUAAUAAAAAUUAUU
rnacentral:lncRNA from 1 species